rnacentral:rRNA from 1 species
CCCUUAGAUGUUCUGGGCCGCACGCGCGCUACACUGACGAAUGCAACGAGCUUAUAACCUUGGCCGAAAGGUCUGGGUAAUCUCCAAAUUUCGUCGUGAUGGGGAUAGAUUAUUGCAAUUACUAAUCUUCAACGAGGAAUGCCUAGUAAGCGCAAGUCAUCAGCUUGCGUUGAUUACGUCCCUGCCCUUUGUACACACCGCCCGUCGCUCCUACCGAUUGAAUGGUCCGGUGAAGCGUUCGGACCGUGGCCUUUGGACGGUUCGCCGUCUGUUGGCUGCGGGAAGUUCGUUAAACCUUAUCAUUUAGAGGAAGGAGAAGUCGUAACA